GAUGAACGCUGGCGGCGUGCCUAAUACAUGCAAGUCGAGCGAACGGACGAGAAGCUUGCUUCUCUGAUGUUAGCGGCGGACGGGUGUGUAACACGUGUAUAACCUACCUAUCAGACUGGGAUCACUUCGGGAAAGCGGAUCUUAUACCGGAGAAUAUUUUGCACCGCAUGGUGCAAUAGUGAAAGACGGUCUUUCUGUCACUACUAGCUGGAUCCGCGCUGCAUUAGCUAGUUGGUAAGGUAACGGCUUACCAAGGCAACGAUGCAUAGCCGACCUGAGAGGGUGAUCGGCCACACUGGAAGUGAGACACGGUCCAGACUCCUACGGGAGGCAGCAGUAGGGAAUCUGCCGCAAUGGGCGAAAGCCUGACGGAGCAACGCCGCGUGAGUGAUGAAGGUCUUCGGAUCGUAAAACUCUGUUAUUAGGGAAGAACAUAUGUGUAAGUAACUGUGCACAGCUUGACGGUACCUAAUCAGAAAGCCACGGCUAACUACGUG
rnacentral:rRNA from 1 species